rnacentral:misc_RNA from 1 species
AAUGCGUACAAUGAUGUCAGUGGCAAAAGUACACGACACUAAAAAUAGACACAGUGGCGUGUCGUCUGCUUGUGACACACCGCCCACCUCCCCCUCUCCUUCUCCGCGUCACACGCCAGGGAAAUCCUUGUGGCAGUGCUCAAGUAUAAAAGGGCUGAGUGCUACACGAGCCCAUACUUUCUUUUCGAGAUUGUCAGUGUAACAUAUCGGUGUAGCGUCCUAGUGGGACAGAACAUUUCGCGCCGUGGAUUCUAAUAAACUGGAUCACAACACACAAUGAAAACGCUGACUGACAAGUCCAUAGAUGAUAAACAAGUAACUGGCUCAGGAAAGUAUGUGUUUGUAGACCCACCAUCAACAAUGGAGGAAGAGCUAACUGGAUAUAAAGAGAAAGUAGAGAAUAUGAAACUUCUUCUGAAGCACUAUCAGGCUCAGCUAGAAUCUCAUAAAGUGCGCCGUGAUGGUGUAGAAACAGUCUCCAGGCUCCUGGCUGAGGCUCGACAGGAAAAUUUGACUUUAAAGAAAAACCAGGUCGCUUUGGAGACAACAAUCAAGAAUUUGCAGAAUAGACUUGUGGUGAAUGGAAUUUCGAAUGCAGCUACAGAGGAUGAUGAAGUUAUUGUGCCAAGUAUGUCCAAACAGACUUUCAACAAUCUAGCUCUUGAGAAUGCUCGACUAAGGAGCAUACUACACAAAGAGGGCAGUGAAAAUCUAGACAGUAUACAGAAAGUCAAAGAGGAAACGGAAGCAGAAAAGACAAUUGAGAAACUUAGGAUAGAAAAUACUAGCAUGAAGAUGAAGCUUUCAGAUCUAGAGACACUUUUCAAAUCUUCCAACAAUGAUAAGGACAAGCGUCUCAUUGCCUACCUGGAAGAAAUCAGACAGCUCAAGGCUCUAGAACAUGGUGGUACAGGGGAGCUGACAAAGUCACGACAGACUUUGGCAGCUUUGCCAACGCUUCGGGAGCAGUUGCGUGCAUUUGCACGACAUUGUCAAGACUUAGAGGGAGAGUUGGAAAAAAUGGAGGAGAUUCCAAAAGAAGUUGUCACUGUCAGCCGCCACAAUUCUGAGCGAAGGGACAGUACAGAUGGUGCUGAGAUCAGUCAACUACUAGAAGAGAAGAAGAAACUGGUGGAGAAAGUAGAAGAGGUCUCAGAAAUGAACCGACGAUGGCAGAAAUACUAUGAGGAACGGGAAAAAUAUACACAGAGCCUGGAGUUUAGGAUCCAGGAUCUGGAAAAGAGCUACAGUGAUGCUCUACGGGGAGGGGUCACAGAAGAACUUAAUAGACAAAUGGAGCAGUUGGUGACAGCAUCACGUGAGAAACUGGAACAAGUAGACGACCUCCGCCGAAAGGCUGAAAAUGAAGCAGAACAGCUGCGCCGUGUCUUAGGGGCCAAAGAAGCUGAGAUUGUGCAGCUCCAAGACCAGGUGACUAUUCUCUCCAUGUCGUCUCCACACAACCCAGCAGCAGACACCAGUACCAUUGAGUUGCUGAAGGCACAGAUACAAGUGUGCACAGAGGAUUUUGAAAAGGAAAGACAGGACCGACAGUUUGCAUUGCAAAAGGUUUCAAGUCUGCAGGAGCAGAUUUAUCGUCUUCAGAACCAGAAUGAACAUUUGCAAAGGAUUUUGCAAGGCCAUUCUUUGCCAAAUCGAACCAAUGCUCAGGAACAUGGACUUGAUUUUAACAAUCUUCAGCCUCGUGGAAGCCUUCGUAUGAACCUGGAAUACGAUGGCAGUUAUCCAAGGCACAGACCUCGGCUGCAUGGUAAACACGAUUGGUCCACACCAAUGCCGGACUUCCCUGAUUCCGAUGGGGAGACUCAUCAAGAGAACCAUGAGGCUGUCAAAGCACCAAUUUCUCUUCCAGCAGCUGCAUCUGAGCUGAUAGCACGUUCACCCAAACCUAAACAGUCUCCCCCAUCCUCCAUGCUGAUUUCUGAAGAGUCUUCUAAACAUGAAAACUUUUUGACUUGCCCAAAGUGCAACAAAGAGUUCUCUGAGGAAAGACAGUCUGAGUUGUUGGCUCACAUGGAUACUUGUUGGGAGUGACCUUCUGAACAUUUAGUUCCCAUGACUCAGUGAAUCCGCUGGAAUUUUUUUUUUUUAACACUUUGUUACACUUGGGAGUCUUCUCCUUUUCUUCUCUUUCUUUGAUGCUGUCUUAUCUGAAUGCAACAUAUUUUUUAUAAUUGUGUGUUGUGUGUAUUUUAGUGUUACAUGGUGAUCAUAUCUGUGUGUUUCUCUGUGCUGUUUGUUGUGUUAAAUUUGAAAAUUUGAGUAGGUUCUGCGUGACUGCUGCAUGUGCCAUAUUGAGCAACUGUUUGAAAACAGAAAGAACUGAGGAAUGGCACAAGUCUCAGAUCAGUUUCCAUAUUACAGGUAAUCUUGAAAAGGGCUUCUGCUCAAUGUUUGUUUUUCGUGUGCAGCUAAUGAUUUUAAAAUAGUUUCUCAUUGUGCUUUUUUUAUCCACAAAUAGUUCAAUCUUUGGAGAAGCUUCUCAAACUUAGCUUGAUAUGCUUGAGACUUCAGCACUUACAGUGUUGUCCCUAUUCAAUUUUCUGUUAUUCUUCAGUGUGAGAAGAGGCACAAGCCUGGCAUUCUUUUCGUGGUGGUGUUAGAAAUAUGUUGAGCAAAAUUAAUUCCAUCAGGCUGUCGGAUCCAGUUCUUACCCUCUUUCCACUUUUUUGGCUUUACUCUUUAGUUGUUUUUUAUUACUUUUUUUUUCAUGCAGACAAGCUUUGGGAAGCUCUCCAUUUUUGAUUCUCUAUUGGUUGCAAGGUUUGCUUCAACUGUCUGCUUUGCUUAUCAUCUAGACUAGAGCAAACUUAAUCUGUCUCCAUCUCCAAGCCAGCAUCCAUGAUUUUUAAUGCAGGUUUUGAUUGAUUAACAUCUUACAAGACAGUUUUUAGUGUAUUUAUUUAUGUCUCAGCACAUUUUCUUAAAAGAUUGUUUUAUCUUAAUUUUGACUAUUCUAGAGGCCUUUUUUGUGGAUUUUCACUGUGAAACUGAACACCACUGCUUCAAAUAGCAGCAUUCAAUGGCAUGCAUGAAUAACACUCUGCCCUCCUACUCACUAUAGAAGUAUAUGUUGGCAGAUCAGCAAUAAUCUUACUGUUAACAGCAGCACAGAAUAAGAAUCUUGCUAACACCAGUCACAUCAGUAACAUUGAAGUUACUAGUUGACUAAAAAAACCAAUGAAAUGUUAAAGUUUUAUCUGUUUUAGUCCGAAUAUUAAGAUAUAUUGAAAAGGAAAAUGAUCCAUUCUAUUGUCGGCUUUUAGUAUAAAAAAUGGUUUUACAUUUAAAAGUGGAUUAUGUGUCUGUGUGUGUACAACUAGUUGGACGGCAGAUUGUCAGUAAUGGUCACCAUCCUCAGGGAAUAUAUGUGUCUCCAUGUGUGUUUGUGGAGGGGUUGAGGGAUAUAUUAUGUGAAUGUUUAGAGAUAUGUUUUGUAUGAGUACAUUUCCUUGCUGAUAGUUGUGUUCAGUGCUACAUUUCUUUUCUGGAAGGAGCUAGUGCUCUUUCAGUUGUUUUUUUUUUUAAUUUACUGUGACAUUUUCAGCUUUUGGAGAGCCUUAAAAACAGAUUCAAUAGACAACAGAAAUUGACUUUGUUCCCUAGUCUUGUACUAGCAGCAUUAUGCAUGUGCAACACUGCACAUUCCAUAACUUAUGUUGCUCAAGACCCAUUUUGUAGACUGGUAUUGUCAGAAUAUGUCAUCAAUGUAUUAUUUUUUACUUAUAAAUUUAGAAGUCCAUUGGAAUAAAUUUUGUGAUUUUGAUGAUGAGUGGUCAGUAACAUGAUGUGCUGCAUACAGAGCUGCCUACAACUUGGCAUUUUUGGGAGACCUCUGCCUAGUACACGUAACAGCUUUGGAAGCAGAUCAUUUACUGUGCCAUCAUCUUUGCUUGGAAAGAAAAAGAACAAAACCCCCAUCUACUUUUCUCUGUUACAAUUCUGAGACCUUUAUGCGAGUCCAUUAGACUUAUUUAUUUCCCAAAAAUUCAAUCCAUUUCUGUUGUCAGCGUAAACCUGUAACCUUUUAAGGAAAAAAGCGUGAUAUGUGAGAGUCUUCAAUAAUGGGUGCAAUAUAUGUGAUGGGAUUGCUGGGGUACAAAGGAGUUUUCUCCCCUUUAUUUCCUUUCAGUUAUUUCUGCUUUGUGAUUGUUAACUGAAAAAGUCUCUGUGCCAAGUAUCAGGCCUUUUAUAAAAUUCAUUUCUACCAGUAGAUACUUAGCAUAUUGAGAACUAAUCACAUAACAACGAAACAUAUGUAGACAGUUUGAAAAGAAUUGGUCGCUUGAAGAAGUUUAAAUUUUGUAACAUUUGACAAUGUAAUUCUAGUACCUUUACUGUUGCUAUUUUUCUUAUGGUUAUAGAAGGCUUUGCCAAGCAAUUCUUUAUCACUUUGUUAAUUUUUUUUUUGAGAUUGUAGAUGUUUACAGUAUAAUUGUGUUGCAUAUUCAGGGCUUCUGCUAAGGCUAAAUUCUUUGGGGUCCCAAUGACCCCUUCUUCAGAUUUUUAAGGGGUCCCUGUUCUUCGCCGAAAUUUGAAGGGGACCCCACUGACGAAAAUUGAAGGGGCCCUCCAAACUUUUAAUGCGUACUGUACACAAUUUUUUGCGUAAGCAGAAGCCAUGAUAUAUAUACUACUGGCUAUAAAAGGCUAAUCUGGCUGCAAAUAUUGCUAUUAUACUAAAGGCCAGCAUGUGUCAUAGGGUAUAAACAUAAUACAUAGGUUGUGAUACUCAGUUGACCGAAGAUGACAUUUUCUAGGCCCAGCAUAGCUUGAUAAGUGUUUGUGGAAAAUGUUGCGUACUUUUUCACUCAAGAAUUCACUGAAAUUUUUUGGGAAAAAAAUCAUACGGAGGACUGUCUGUGAUCAAGCUGCCUUGUGUGAACUUUUCUUUCAUUGAGGUAAUGUAUGUUUUGAGCGCUUUGAUUUUUACUGUCAUGUGGAUAUCACAAAGUACAGAAUAAACAGUUCUGAUGUUGAA